GUAGGGAAUAUUGGACAAUGGGCGAAAGCCUGAUCCAGCCAUGCCGCGUGAUAGAUGAAGGCCCUCUGGGUUGUAAAUAUCUUUUAUCUGGGAAGAAACUCCUCUAUUCUUAGAGGCCUGACGGUACCAGAGGAAUAAGCACCGGCUAACUCCGUGCCAGCAGCCGCGGUAAUACGGAGGGUGCAAGCGUUAUCCGGAUUCACUGGGUUUAAAGGGUGCGUAGGCGGGUUGAUAAGUCAGUGGUGAAAGCUCCGGGCUUAACUUGGAAACUGCCAUUGAUACUGUCAGUCUUGAAUGUCGUAGAGGUAAGCGGAAUGUUGCAUGUAGCGGUGAAAUGCUUAGAUAUGUUACAGAACACCAAUUGCGAAGGCAGCUUACUAUGCGAUAAUUGACGCUGAGGCACGAAAGCGUGGGGAGCAAACAGGAUUAGAUACCCGGGUAGUCC
rnacentral:rRNA from 1 species